UAAGAAAAGCCGCUAUUGUUUGUACUGUACCCGUACCGUAAACCGACACAGGUAGGUGAGGAGAGAAUCCUAAGGCCGACGGGAGAAGCAUUGUUAAGGAACUCGGCAAAAUGACUCCGUAACUUCGGGAGAAGGAGUGCCAGUGAGAGCUGGCCGCAGAGAAUUGGCCCAAGUAACUGUUUAGCAAAAACACAGGUCUAUGCAAAACCGUAAGGUGAAGUAUAUGGGCUGACGCCUGCCCGGUGCUGGAAGGUUAAGGGGAGAGGUUAGCGCAAGCGAAGCUUUGAACUUAAGCCCCAGUAAACGGCGGCCGUAACAAUAACGGUCCUAAGGUAGCGAAAUUCCUUGUCGGGUAAGUUCCGACCCGCACGAAAGGCGUAAUGAUUUGGGCACUGUCUCAACAAUGCACCCGGUGAAAUUGAAAUACCAGUGAAGAUGCUGGUUACCUGCGCCAGGACGGAAAGACCCCAUGGAGCUUUACUCCAGCUUGAUACUGGGAUUCGAUAUUGUAUGUACAGGAUAGGUGGGAGGCGAAGAAGCAUUGACGCCAGUUGAUGCGGAGCCGCUGUUGGGAUACCACCCUUGCAGUAUUGGAUUUCUAACCAGCAGCCGUGACCCGGCUGGGGGACAAUGUCAGGUGGGGAGUUUGACUGGGGCGGUCGCCUCCGAAAGGGUAUCGGAGGCGCCCAAAGGUUCCCUCAGAAUGGUUGGAAACCAUUCGAAGAGUGCAAAGGCAGAAGGGAGCUUGACUGCGACACCGACGGGUGGAGCAGGUACGAAGGUAGGACUUAGUGAUCCGGUGGUAUAAAGUGGGAUUGCCAUCGCUCAACGGAUAAUAGCUACCCUGGGAUAACAGGCUUAUCACUCCCAAGAGUUCACAUCGACGGAGUGGUUUGGCACCUCGAUGUCGGCUCAUCGCAUCCUGGGGCUGAAGUAGGUCCCAAGGGUUGGGCUGUUCGCCCAUUAAAGCGGUACGCGAGCUGGGUUCAGAACGUCGUGAGACAGUUCGGUCCCUAUCCGGCGUGGGCGUAGGAUAUUUGAGAGGAGCUGGCCUUAGUACGAGAGGACCGGGCUGGACUGACCGCUGGUGUAUCUGUUGUUCCGCCAGGAGCAUGGCAGAGUAGCCAAGUCAGGAAGGGAUAAACGCUGAGGCAUCUAAGCGUGAAGCCCCCCUCAAGAUGAGAUAUCCCAACGCAAGUUGUAAGACCCCUUGAAGACGACAAGGUAGAUAGGGCAGAGGUGGAAGUGCAGUAAUGCAUGGAGCUGACUGUUACUAAUCGGUCGAGGGCAUAAUC
rnacentral:rRNA from 1 species